ensembl:lncRNA
CUCCGGUUGAAGCUUCACGGAUCACAUAGCGGUAGCGAGGCGAAUCUUCUGUUGUACACGAUCACACCAGCUGCGAUCAGCAGCAGUACAAAGAAGAACGUCAGGCCGACGGCUAGAUCGGUACGAGAGCUGCCGGGAGCAGAACAUGAGGCGGUGUCGUUUCCAGGGACACAGGUCAUAUUGGCAAUCAUGAUCUGAAGGUGAAACAGCUCCACUGUGCCUUCAGUGCCUGUUAGGACAACCAGAAAUAAACAACCAUGGUAGGUGCGGUGGUUGGACUCCUGGCAAAAUGAAUGUUUGAAAUGUUGAAUGUCUCUCAUGAAUUUUCAUUUGCAUGUGUUGUUUUUACUGAGCGUGAUAUAUUAUCAUACAUCAACAAUAUAUUAUCAUAAAACCCAUGGGCCUCUUUCUGUUCUGCAUGCAGCUGGAAAUUAAAUUAUCACUGCUAUACGAAAACCAGAACAGAUAUUGAAAGGGUUUCCCCCCCAAGUGAUUUAUCAUAUAAUUCAUUGAGGGAAUGUAGAAACAAAUAUAUGACAGAAAUACUUACAAUUCAUCUAAUACCUCAUGUGUCUGCAGUAAGUAUCUAACAGAAUGUUGGAAUGUGGUCAUCUAGAAAGCAGUGGGGGACAGUAUUGUAGUAUUAGUAGUAGUAUUGUAGUAUCUUCAGGUCAGCAGUGCACACACACCUGGACACAUCUGGGGAGGAGGAAGACAUUGACACUCUCUGGCCUGAGACAUUGUCACAAACAGUUUGAUCCUCGACUCUCUCAGAACUCUCAAUUGAGGUUAUUUACCGUAAACAUAUUUAAAAGUUCCUCA